GCUUACGGCCACACCACCCUGAGCACGCCCGCUCUCGUCUGAUCUCGGAACCCAAGCAGGGUCGGGCCUGGUUAGUACUUGGAUGGGAGACCGUCUGGAAAUACUAGGUGCUGUAAGCAU
rnacentral:rRNA from 1 species